UACGUAGGGUGCGAGCGUUAAUCGGAAUUACUGGGCGUAAAGAGUGCGUAGGCGGUUCGUUAUGUCUGCUGUGAAAGCCCCGGGCUUAACCCGGGAAUGGCAGUGGAAACUGGCGGGCUUGAGUGUGGCAGAGGGGGGUGGAAUUCCGCGUGUAGCAGUGAAAUGCGUAGAGAUGUGGAGGAACACCGAUGGCGAAGGCAGCCCCCUGGGCUAACACUGACGCUCAUGCACGAAAGCGUGGGGAGCAAACAGG
rnacentral:rRNA from 1 species